UACGAGGGGGGCGAGCGUUGUUCGGAAUUAUUGGGCGUAAAGGGUGCGUAGGCGGCGCGGUAAGUCGGGUGUGAAAUCUUGGAGCUUAACUCCGAAACUGCAUUCGAUACUGCCGUGCUUGAGGACUGGAGAGGAGACUGGAAUUUACGGUGUAGCGGUGAAAUGCGUAGAUAUCGUAAGGAAGACCAGUGGCGAAGGCGGGUCUCUGGACAGUUCCUGACGCUGAGGCACGAAGGCCAGGGGAGCAAACGGG
rnacentral:rRNA from 1 species